rnacentral:rRNA from 1 species
AGAGAUGUGUGAUGACGCAUAUCAAUAAGCGGAGGAAAAGAAACUAACUAGGAUUCCCUCAGUAACGGCGAGUGAAGCGGGAAGAGCUCAAAUUUGAAAUCUUCAAGGUUCUACCUUGACGAAUUGUAGUUUAAAGAAGUGUUUUCUGUUAGUAGAGUGGCAAAAGUUCUUUGGAAUAGGACAUCAUAGAGGGUGAGAAUACCGUAUUUGGUCAUUCUUCCUAGCUUUGUGAUACACUUUCAACGAGUCGGAUUGUUUGGGAAUGCAGUCCAAAAUGGGUGGUAAAUUUCAUCUAAAGCUAAAUAUUGGCGAGAGACCGAUAGCGAACAAGUACCGUGAGGGAAAGAUGAAAAGAGCUUUGAAAAGAGAGUUAAACAGUACGUGAAAUUGUCAAAAGGGAAGCGUUUGACACCAGUGUUGUUUUCUCGAAAAUCAAUUAAGAAUGUCUUAUUUUGAGGAGUUAUUGACUUAUCAGCUUUCUGCACUUUCUUUCUUGUAACUUUCUUAAUGCACUUUUCGGUUAACAAGUCAACAUCAAUUUCUUUUGUUGUAAAAGGGUAUGAGGAAGGUGGCUUUCUUUCGGAGAAAGUGUUUAUAGCCUUGUGCCUCUGCAAUCGGAGAGAUUGAGGUCUGCAGCGUAGAUCCUUCGGGGUUAGAUACGUUUGUGCUAAGUUAUAGCUUUUCAUAGACAACUUGUUGACUAUGUUUAGUCUUGUAGCUUACUCGCUGACUGCUAUUUUACCUACGCUUAGGAUGUUGAACUCUAUCACACACAG